AAAGGACUGACCUUGCCUCUGACUGGCUAGGCAGGAACCUGAGACACACCCAGUAAAGAGAGCUUUCUUUUGACUGAGGAGCCUGGCUCCAUUUCAGGUCUUCUGGGAUUUCAAUAAGGAAGAAGAAUGGAGCUUCUCCUGGGAGUGUCUUUGGUGAUUCUAUGGCUUCAACUGGCCAGGGUGAACAGUCAACAAGGAGAAGAGGAACCUCAGACCUUGAGCAUCCAGGAGGGUGAAAAUGCCACCAUGAACUGCAGUUACAAAACUAGUAUAACCAGUUUACAGUGGUAUAGACAAGAUUCAAGUAGAGGCCUUACCCAACUAGUUUUAAUACGCUCAAAUGAAAGAGAGAAAUAUAGUGGAAGAUUAAGAUUCACUCUUGACACGUCCAUGAAAAGUAGUUCCUUGUUCAUCGCGGCUGCCCAGGCAGCAGACACUGCUGCUUACUUCUGUGCUACAGAAGCACAGUGUUCACCAGGAGCCUGCAGCCUCUACACAAACCCUGCCAAAGCAGCUUCUUAG